rnacentral:tRNA from 5 species
GCGAGCGUGGUGGAACUGGUAGACACGCCAGAUUUAGGUUCUGGUGCCGUAAGGUGUGGGGGUUCAAGUCCCUUCGCUCGCA